GGGAGAGAAAAUGGUGAGGGGGAAAGGAAAGACGUGAAGAUCGCUUGCUGCCUCAAGACCAUGGAAGAUGCUCCAAGUGCUUCAUAGGUUUUGAGGGUUAGGUAAGCCGGAGGGCUACACACAGUCGGGGCCUUGGGGGACAGAGACGGGCAUCUGUGAACUCCAAGAAAGGCAAGGCCGGACCAGAUCACCAGGCAGCCUGGAAAGACUUGCCGCAGAACCCCCAAAAAACUCCCAUUCUCGUCUUCAUCCUCCCAAGGGAUGGCAACAGUCUUUUUUACCCACUGAAGGAAUGUUGGAGUUUGCCGUGGUGGAGCACUUAGCAGCUUGAGGUCUGGGAGAGAAAACGUCGUCACGUGUACUGGGGUGACCAAUACUCUUAAGGCUUCCACAACGGCACUUCACUGGUCCAUCCACGAGAACCUCUGGCAGCACUCCCAAGAAGCACCAUUACAGACUUUGCAGAUUUGGAGAUGGCCAACUUUCACUUGGCGAUGUCCAGAGGCUAGUGUGCCUCGGAGCUCCACACGGGGUACAAUUGGCGGAAAGGGUAACCGGUAUUCUCAAUUAAAGUGAAGUAUUUGAAUGAAUGACACCAAAU
rnacentral:lncRNA from 1 species